GGAACAGUAGUUCAGUGGUGAGAGCGACCGCCUCAUAAGCGGUUUGGCGCAGGUUCGAGUCCUGUCUGUUCCA
rnacentral:tRNA from 1 species